CUGUAGUUUUUGGUGAUCCAAAGAAAAGAGGUGGAAUUCAUGUCAUUCUACACGUCGAUCUUGAUGUUGUUGAACGGGGCAUUCUGGUUUGUCUUUGGCUUACUUAGACAAGACUUUUUUAUUGUUCUAUUAAAUGGAGUUGGCUGUGGAGUGGGAGCAGCACAAAUAUACCUGAUGUAUCCAAAUAACAAAGGCAAAACUGUGAAGCAAAAGAAAACUAUAGAAGGGGAAACCAGGAAUCAAAAGAAUAAAAACAAAGGAGGAGAAAAUAAAACCAAGAUUGCAUGAUUUAUUUAAAGCUUAAUUUUGAAGCUAUUGGGAGGCCACGCGCGGUAUAUGUCUGUGAAAUUUGGCUUCAAAAAUAGUGCCCAUAGUUAUUUUUUUAUUUAUGUAUGUUUUAUGGGUCUCAAAAACUGGUGUACCAUAACCGCUUCACUCUAGUACUUAUAAUUUUUUUUUUUUGGUUAUUAUGCUUACGGUAGUAUUUAGGGUAGAAAAACAUUUUGCCCCCUCAACUAUGUCGUUUUUUCAUUGCUAUGCAAACAAAAUACUUUUCCA